rnacentral:rRNA from 1 species
GGCUAAGGUCCUAAAAUCUAUGCUAAGUGGGAAACGAGGUGAGGUUACUUAAACAACCAGGAGGUUGGCUUAGAAGCAGCCACCCUUUAAAAAGUGCGUAACAGCUUACUGGUCUAGUGACUUCGCGCGGAAAACUUAACGGGGCUAAGCAUAGUACCGAAGCCAUGAGUCUCAACGCAAGUUGGGGCAGUAGGGGAGCGUUCUGUCAGCGGUGAAGGUCGAUCGUAAGGGCGACUGGAGCGGGACAGAAGUGAGAAUGCAGGCAUGAGUAGCGUACAAACACGUGAGAACCGUGUUCGCCGUAAGUCUAAGGUUUCCGACGCCAGGUCAUUUCCGCGUCGGGUUAGUCGAGUCCUUAGCCGAGGCCGAGAGGCGUAGGUGAUGGACAUCCGGUCAACAUUCCGGAACCGCUAGAGAGUGCGAUGGGAGGACGCAACGAGGUAGGCCAGCCCAUUAUUGGAUUUGGGUUCGAGUCCAUCUAGGUGUUGAGACUGGUAGGUAAAUCCGCCAGUUGAGCUGA